ACCAGGCCUGAUCAAGGCUGAAGCCAGGAACCAGAAGAGAUUGAGGAUAAUAGCCAAGACUCUCCAGCAGAAGCAUCAGUUGAAUUCACCUUUGUCUUCCCAAAAUGGACUUUAUUUUCUCAGAAUUCUUCCAAUUUAGCAAGUGAAGGAAGGCUGAAAUUUGUACUCUACAAGUAGGAUAAAAUAAUUCAUCAGACAUCUGAA
rnacentral:lncRNA from 1 species